rnacentral:rRNA from 1 species
CGCGCAGGCGGCUAUCCAAGUCAGGCGUGAAAGCCCCGGGCUUAACCUGGGAGGUGCGUCUGGGACUGGGUGGCUAGAGUUCGGGAGAGGAGAGUGGAAUUCCCAGUGUAGAGGUGAAAUUCGUAGAUAUUGGGAAGAACACCGGUGGCGAAGGCGGCUCUCUGGACCGAGACUGACGCUGAGGCGCGAAAGCGUGGGGAGCAAACA